GGCCUCGUGGUGUAGCGGUUAGCACUCUGGACUUUGAAUCCAGCGACCCGAGUUCGAGUUUCGGUGAGGCCU
rnacentral:tRNA from 1 species